ACUCUAAAAGGCUCAAUUUUUGUUGGAUUUGAAGACAAUCUGAAUUUUGAGUGAAUUUCUAAGUGACGAGGGUUGGUCACCGUCAUAGUUUGAAUCACUCAACUUCAAAGGAGAAAUUCUCAUGAGUAAAUCAUUAGAUUGCAACAAAAAUUAUUGGAUUAGAAGCAUCUUAAAGUUAACCUUUCAACAAGCUAAUAAUCAUUCAAAUUAAAGUUGAUUAAAAAUUUUGGAAAAUUUUGGAGUAGAAGAGGGUUGCUGCCUUCAAUCCUUGUGUAUUGUCAAGAUACCUUUGCUUUAACCUCUCUUAUUU
rnacentral:lncRNA from 1 species